rnacentral:lncRNA from 1 species
UCUUGUACAAGAAUUCUGGAGCCACUUUAUUCAUUCAGCCAAAAUAUAAAAUUAGCCCAGUUUUUCAGGGGUAAGAAAAUGGAAAAAACAAAUUGUGGUAGAGUCACAUAACAGCAGAUUGCCCAGCACUCUAAAGAAACAGACUUUAGAUACGCAAAACAGCAUGGGUGGACCUCAGAAACAUUGUGCCAAGUGAAAGAAGCCUUACACAAAAGAGUUUACGACUUGUACACUCCACAAGAUGAAAAUUCUGAAACAAAGGAAAAAGAAACACGUUUUGAACCCAGUUAACACAUGCUGAGGUACUUAGGAGGAAGUGUACUGAAAUCUGCAAUGUAUUUUGAAACGCAUCUAAAAAAUAUAGAUCCAUGGGUGAAGAGAUGGGUGGAUGUGGAGGACAGACAUGCUAACAGGUAAGGAAACGUUAAAGGCAAAACCUAAGCAGGCAAAUGGGUGUUCUCUGCAAAUUCUUUCAACUCCGCUAGAUGUUUGAAAUUUUCCACAAUGAAACUUUGAGAGAAGACAAGUCAAAAUUCUGAUAUAUUUGGAUAUUUUAAAAUACACAUCUAAAUAACCCAUAUGUCAGGGAAGAACUAAUGGGAUCUUUAAAAUAUUUAGAACCGAACGACAAUAAAAUGCUGCGUGUCAAAACGUGAGAUUUCAUGACAAUAGUACUUAAAGUGAAACGUACUGCUUAACUGUUGAUAUAAAAGAUGCUAAAAAAUAAAUGAGCUGCAAUUUUAAGUGAGAAAAAGAACUAUAAUAAAACCAAGAAAAAUGAACAUUGUGAGAGAUAAAAGCAGAAUUUAAUAAGACAGAUAAAAAGCCAGAAUUUGGUUUUUGAAGAGACACAAAAUAAAUCUCUGGCAAGUCUGAUAACAAGAAGAUUCAAACCAAUAACGUGGAGAAUUUAAAAGGACGCAUGAGUACAGAUCCAACAAGAAGAAAAUACUACAACUUUAAGCUGAUAAAUUUGGAAACAGAUCGAAUGAAUAAACGUCUAAAUAAAUACAGCUUAUAAAUGAACGAAACUGAUUUGAGAAAAAUAGUAAGCCUGAGUUAAUUACUGAACUGCUGAAAUUCCAUAAGUUCUUUAAAAUUUUUCCUUCAGGAUAACUAAUACUCCCAGAUGGUUGUACAGGUGAGAUCAUUCCAGCCAUACAUCAUUCCUCCCUUGGAGAAAGAGGGAAAAAUCCCCCCUGUCUCCUUCUAUGAGGCCGUUAUUAUUUUGAAACCAAAGUAAAACAAAGAAGGAAAAACAUGGCAGGACAAUUCCAAGCAUGAACAUACAUGCAAAAAUCCUUCAUCACACAGUAGGAUCCCAAAUUAAGUGAUGUAUUAAAAGGAUAAUAGUAGCCAGGAACAUACCAAAAAAAACCAGGAAGGAGGGCAGUUUGUCAUAACUUAACCUCAUGCCAAGUGUUUGGGUCCAUCAGAGGAGCCGGGGCUCUUAAGAGCUGCCAUCAGAGGCCUCGGGGUGUGGGAUGAAGCCAGGAGAAGCAUCACUAAUGCUGAGAAGGAAGGAUUCUUCCAAGAAACCAGGGAAGACCCCAGAGGGAUGUCUGAGGAAACUCACUGCCGUGUUCAGAGGAAACCACAGCGAAUUAGGACAAGCUGUGCCUGUGAAAAACAUACCCAAACAAACUGUUAGUCUAGAGGGCACUGGGAAGGGGAAAAAAUGGGUACAAUGAAGCCUGGCUGGUCCGCGGCCCACACGGGGUCCCAAAGGGCUAGUGCCAGGGAAGUGCUGGGGGACCAAGGUCCCCACCGUGUGCCAGGCAGACAGGAAGGCGGCGGGCAAUCAGAGCUGUGCAGGUGGGUGUGCAGCAGCACGUGGCCCAGGCCCAGGGGUCGGACGUCCCCACAGCUCAGGAGCUGCUUGGGAGCAGGCAGAGGCACGGCCGAGACCCUGCAUGGUCCUGGCUUCCUGUGGUUUACUGAUCUUGUCUCCUCUAACACGAGGUGGGACUGACGCUCUAACUUCAUUAAAUGGGUGGACUUUAUUAAUAACACAGGCGCGGGGCGUGAUAAGGAAGCUUCUGAAGGCAAUCUGUCCAAAAUAAGAAAACCAAGGUUCACCUGGAAGCACCCCAAGGAGAAGCACCAACACAGAAGGCGCAGUGGGCUCACAGCCUGGUGCUCGCCAUGGCACCCACUUCAUCGUAGCUGGAGCCUGAGGACCAGGACACUGGCAAGGGGGGCUCCCCUCCCACUGCUGAAGGGCCAGUUCCCUGCAGCAGGAUGGGCAGGUCACCUGAGGCUGGGAAGGAGACUUUGUGAGCAGGCCACCAGGUCCUAGGGGCGACUCAACCAUCCGUGAGAGAGAGAUCAUCCUAGAUACCCGCUCUAGGGAGGCUGUUGGGUUUGUCAGAAAGACACAACCGGCAGGAGUUCAUUGGUGUCCCUGGAAGGAGAGACGGACGGAGAAGCGGGGGCGGGAGGGACACCCCCACCCGGAGGGCUGCCUGGCUUGCAUGGCUGCCCGCCUGUCCUCCUGGCUCCCAACCCCAAGGCAUCACGUGGCAGAGUGGGCAGUGCAGAGGUGGACGAGACCAGCUUUGAGCUUUGGCCCCUCUGGCCCUUCCCAGGGAGCUUUGGCUCAGGUGCUUAACUCCCCUGGGUGGGCUCAGGUAUGCUCUGCCCCCCCACCCAACCACUGGAGCAGAGUGUGGGGUCCCAGGGAUGGGGUCGAGGCUUGUUGGUAUGUAGGUACUUCCUUUAACCCCUCACAUGCUCUGGGUGGCGUGGCUGAGUCUCCUCAGGGCAAGGGGCCUCGGGGAGCCCAGGGCCGCUGAGAGAGCCAGGAGCUAGCCAGGUUGUAGAGGCCCUGGGAGGCGUGCAGAUAUUUGUGUGCCCUCCCAACCAUGCCCCUCAGGCGUCUGGUCCUCCUGGGAGCACCAGGCUCCUCUUCCUGGCUCCUCACUCCACACACCUGGUCCCCACCCACCAGUGAGGACCUGUGCCAAGUGUCACAUCUCCGUGCUAACUCUGCCCAGCAUGCGUCCUUAUCUGACCCUUUUCUGGUUUGUCCAGUGAUUGUCCGGAGACCCCCGAGACCCUGCCCUCCCUGCACCCUUUCCAGAUGACCAGGCUGCCAGUACCUGCCUGGCGCUCGCGCACCAUCCGUUAAUGACAAGCUCCGCCUAUGUGCUCCAUCGGGGACCGACGCCACUCUCCUCAGAAACUGCGGGGAGCCGAGGACAUGCAGGAGGCCGAGGAAGGGAACUAGCCUGACAGCACGGUUCCAAAGGCAGGGUUCCUCACCGAGGAACAAAGCCUACCCGCUGGCACAGUUCCGAGGGCAGGUUUAGAAAUAGGGGAAAGGGCUUACCUGGCAGCACAGUUCCGAGGGCAAGUUCUAAAAAUAAUGAGGCUCACCUGCUAACCCGACAACAACAUCAACAAUAACAAGAUGAAGGCUUUGCACAACAGUACAAGAAUAAAACCACUUCUGGGAAAAAUCAGUCUUUCUUGUUAUUUACUUAUUAUUCAAUCUUUCCUGUUAUUUGUUUGUUAUUUUUUGUUAUUCUCCUAUAUUGUUUUGUGACUCAAUAAAAUUGGAACAACAAAAAAUUGGAACAGUAAUAAAAUAAUAAGAGCUUCACUUUGGUUGAAUUCCCCCUAUUCAGAUCCAAUGUAGGGAAAAACAAAGUAUUCGUUAGUUUGUUACAAGUAAGAAUGGGUUGUAGAGUUAGGCAAUUGUGCUAUGUACCAUAGCUUACGAAUAGGUUAGACAUACAUGGAAAAACAUAAUAAUCUUGCUUUUAAUGAAUUUUGUAAUAAGCUUUUAAGUUUUAUGAAACUAAGUUGCUUUGAUAUAAAAAAAUAUUUUCUCAUACUGUCCCCUGACCAUAACGCUUUGAAGUUAGCACCCCAAGCUUUAAUCCAAAACAUGAGUUUUUGUAAAUGUCAAAUUCUUAUGCUUGUGACCUUUCUAGUUGUUAAAGAUUAGCUUAAAACAAUAACAGGUGGUGCUUGCUAAAAGUAACCACAAAACGUUUUUUACCGAAUCGCCUUAUUUUCAUAUAACGUUUUUUCCACAUGAUGUUUUGUACCCAUUGUAGUGUUACAUGAUGUAUUGUAUCCGUUGGUUUUCAUUAAAAUCCUUAGAAUACAAUGUAUAUCUACUGUACCAUGUAAUCUAAAAGUUUAACCUUUAAGAAUAUGACCUAAGCACUGUAAUGUAAGUUACAAUUAAGCUAUCCAUAUAAACUGCUACCUAUGCUAAUGAAAUUUGAGCAGUCCAGCGCCCUGAGAGAAGGGACAAAGAGGCGGUCUCCGUGUGCAUCCCCGACACUGUCCAUCCCCGCAGGGACACCCUGGCUGCUGGAGCUGGACUCCGGCAGGAAACAUUCCCGCAGGGGCUCCGGGAAGGCCGUGGUGGCUCUGCCGCCCUGUCCUGGUGUCAGAGUGAGGGCAGGGGUGUAAGAGCCCUCACACUCCCUGGGCAGAGAGUCUCCAGGCUGCAGGUUUGCACCGCUCGAGUCCCCUGGGUCUUCGAGGAUCUGCUCCUAGACAACUUCAGAGGAGACAUCCCUGUGUCCCUGGGAUCCUGCAAAGGGGCCCAUGGAGAGAGACCCUCCCCAGAGACCCUCUCCCUAGAGAAAACCAGCCUCAGUACAGGUGGGGGGCCGUCUGCUCUGCCAGGGCUGCCUGUGACCACAGCGGGAGUUUGCAGCUGACAGUGUCCUCGAAUCCCCAGUUCUAGGCCCGAUGACCCAGGCCCUUGGCAGCCCAGGAGCUGGGAACCCCCGGCCCCGGGCACCCAGGGCUCACAGGGUCUAUCUUCUCCAGCGUCCUGCUGACUUUCCCCACCCCCACAGCUCCGCCCCUGCUUCCAAGUGACCAAAAGUGGGAGCUGGAGUCCAGCCGUGCCCAGGGGCAGCAGCUCUGCACCUUUGCGUCUGCAGGGGCAGCUGGGAGCCCACGGGGGUCGGACAGGUCGGGAAGCUGGGUUCAGGGAAGUGAUGGAAUCCAGGUCAGGUCUCGGGAGGGAUGGCGUGACCGAUGUGCAGUCUGCUACUUGCCUGUGCGAGCAUCAGCCUAAACCCAGACAGUAGGACUAAAACCCCUUCCUCCUUCAGAGGGUCCAAAGAUUUGGGCUUCCCGGAGCAUGGACACGGCCACGCCGCACUGCAGCUCCCGGCGCACCGUGUGGGCCGUGGCAAGGUCCAGGUCGGCGUCACAGACGGUGCCCAGGUCAGGCCAUGUCUCACCUCCAGGCGCCCAGCGCAGGGGUGCCCACCCCCCGCCAGCCAGGCCUGUGUGUGUCCUGGGGGCAGACAGACAGGGCAGCCUGAGCACACAGUCCUCCUUCUUCCCUCCCUCGGAAGCUUCAUGGGUAACUCUACUUCCCGUCAGGGACCCCCCGCCACGCACCACAGUCUCUUCCUGCACCCGACCCUCCCACAACUUCCUGCAAGUGCUGGGAACCCCACACGCCAGAGCAGUGGGUCCAUGAGUGUUCACAGAGCUGGUCAGGUGGUGCCCAUCCCUCCUUGAAAGGCCAUGGUCCUGUCCCACCCACCACACCAGCCUGCCCAGAUGCACUGCAUGGCAGCAGGUUCCAUGAUCCCAAGGUGGGAAGGUAGAGAGGAGAAAACCACAGGGCCCCCCAGGACAUGGUGCCUGAGCUGCCAGCUUCCUCCCCAGUCCAGACUCAGAGAGGCCCAAGCUCUUCUGUAGGCUCAGGCAGUUGACUGAAGGCUCAGACUGUCCCACGUGUUUCCAGUAAGUCCCAACUAUGGCUGAAGUUAGCUUAGAGAUGCUCAAAGCUGGCUGCAUGUCUCUCAUGUAGGGAAGCCCUGAAAAAUCCCCUAAAGCUUCUGAGGGACUCCCCCCCACCAGGGGGAGCCCAGUGGAGACCCCAGGAAACAGCCCUGAGGGCCACUGAGCCAUCCACUGUUUGCACCUCCCGCAGAGAAGGGUGGAAAAAAGGGCCCACUGUCUGUCCUGCGCCCGCUGCUCCUGCUGCUCCUUCAGCACCCACGGCGAGGAGCUAGAGGCACAGACCCAGUCACAUGGAGACAGGCUCACCCACGGCACCCCCACACUCCCACACCCAGUAGGUGAGCCAAGAUGUUUCUGGUCCCUCCUGCCCCUUUAUUUAUUGAGGUCCUUAGGGCUGAGUAUCAAUCACUUACAAGCAGGCCCCGGGCAGUGGCUCUGAGGUCGGGCACAGGUCAGCCUCCUUCCACCUCCCAGGGCCACCUCCCAAGCUACAACUGCAACCAUCCAGCUUUUCCUUUGAACACUGUAAAACCAACCCUGUUCCACAAACUCCAUCCGCAUGGACUCCUUGAUGGCGGUGCCUUGAAGUCUGCCAGUGUAACACGCACGAGACCACUUGCAGGAGCCCUUGGAGGAAUGCGCUCCUCUGUCGGAAAAA